ensembl:snRNA U6 U6 spliceosomal RNA
UUGCUUCAGCAGCACAUAUACUAAAAAACUGGAACAAUACAGAGAUUAUCAUGGCCCCUGAAUAAGGGUGACUCAUAAAUUCAUGAAUCGUUCCAUAUUUUU